UACGUAGGGUGCGAGCGUUGUCCGGAAUUAUUGGGCGUAAAGGGCGCGUAGGCGGUCUUGUAAGUCUCGUGUGAAAUCCCUCGGCUUAACUGAGGAACUGCACGGGAUACUGCAUGACUUGAGAUCGGGAGAGGGAAGCGGAAUUCCGGGUGUAGCGGUGAAAUGCGUAGAUAUCCGGAGGAACACCGGUGGCGAAGGCGGCUUCCUGGACCGACACUGACGCUGAGGCGCGAAAGCUAGGGGAGCAAACGGG
rnacentral:rRNA from 1 species